rnacentral:misc_RNA from 1 species
CCUAAACCUAGUACGUUGGUUCAACUCAAUAUCUGUAGAAUAUAGUGAUGGCUUGAAUGAAGUCACAACAACAUAUAUUGGGAAAAGAGGCUUGGGAAAACCUGUGACAGUUAAAUCGAAAGAGCUACAGGUUGUCAAUGGAGAUAUCUCUGAAAAGGGAAAGGUAGGUAGCAAAACACCUGAAGUUGAUCUUCCAGAUGCUGAAAUUGGGAAGGUGUGCCUACGAUUCGCUCCAGAGCCCAGUGGUUUUCUUCACAUUGGGCAUGCAAAAGCAGCAUUAUUGAACCAAUAUUUUGCUCAAAGGUACCGAGGUGAGCUAAUUGUUCGCUUUGAUGAUACAAAUCCUGCGAAAGAAAGCAGUGAAUUUGUGGAGAAUCUUCUGAAAGAUAUUGAGACACUGGGCAUCAAAUUUAAAAAAGUUACACAUACAUCAGAUUACUUUGAUAUGUUGAUGGAAAAGGCUGAAGAGUUGAUCAAGCAGGGUAAAGCUUAUGUUGAUGACACACCACGUGAGCAAAUGCAGAA